rnacentral:lncRNA from 1 species
AAUAAUUAAUCACUUUUUAUUCAAAUUCUCUAGAAGUAUUGUUAUCUCUUCCUUCUCAGUGGAUCUCACAACACCUGAUCUUGCCUUCUAAUACAGUGUUUGGGAACAGAACAAGUAAGAAUGGACAAAGGAAUACCAUGUGCUGACUGACAAACACCUGGGUUUCUGAACCAACUGCCAUCAAGGGGACUGGGAUUACCAUAAUUUUUGCUGAGACUAAGCCCCACCCCAGUAACUAAAGGCUUAUGGGUGGAAUGCAAGCUAUUGGAAGUAUUUGAAGAUGUGACCAAGGAAGCUAUGAGAAUUGGAAAUGAGGCAGUUGUUUAGAGACGGGCUGAUGGGCUUGCAGUAAGGUGGAAGGAGGAAGGCAGAUGAGGAAAGGAAUGUGCAACUGAAUCAAUUAGCUGUUACUAUGUAACAAACCAUCCCAAAACGUAGUAACAUAAAA